UUCGCAAUGCCCGAAAGGGUGACGAAGCGACGCCGCGUGUGGGAAGAAGGCCUUCGGGUUGUAAACCACUGUCGGGAGUUAAGUAAUGCAAGGGUAUAAAUAGUAUCCUUGCUUGACUAAGGCUCCGGAGGAAGCCACGGCUAACUCUGUGCCAGCAGCCGCGGUAAUACAGAGGCGGCAAGCGUUGUUCGGAAUUAUUGGGCGUAAAGAGCACGUAGGCGGCUGUGUAAGUCGGUUGUGAAAGCCUUCCGCUUAACGGAAGAACAGCAGCCGAUACUGCAUGGCUUGAGUGCGGGAGGGGAGAGUGGAACUUCUGGUGGAGCGGUGAAAUGCGUAGAUAUCAGAAGGAACGCCGGCGGCGAAAGCAACUCUCUAGACCGUGACUGACGCUGAGUGUGCGAAAGCUAGGGGAGCAAACGGGAUUAGAUACCCCGGUAGUCCUAGCCGUAAACGAUGGGCACUAAGUAGAGGGGUUUU
rnacentral:rRNA from 1 species